rnacentral:misc_RNA from 1 species
UAGAGUACUAUACUCCAUAAAACCCACUGUAAACGUAUCUCUAGUCUUGUUCCUUCGGCAGGCGAUCCCUGGGAGGGGUCUUUGAGCCGGUGACGGCGCCUGUCAGAGGUCAAAAUUCUUUCUGUUAAGAUUGUCUGAGCUUCUACAAAUAAGUCA